CAGCAUCGAGCCAGUCAAACGUAUCAAGAUGAUCUCACAGGCUCAACUCAUCUGGCUGUUAGUGCUCUGCAUCCAUGACUCCAUCGAGGACAUUGUGAUGACUCAGACUCCAGAAUCCCUGGCAGUGUCUCCAGGAGACAGAGUCACCAUCAGCUGCAAAGCCAGUUCCAGCAUUACAGGCUUUUUAAGCACUAGCUACUUAGCUUGGUACCAACAGAAACCCAGCCAAGCUCCUAAGCUCCUUAUCUAUCAAGCUUCUACCCGCGCCUCUGGGAUCCCAGACCGGUUCAGUGGCAGUGGGUCUGGAACCGAUUUCACUCUCACAAUCAGCAGUGUGCAAGUUGAAGAUGCUGGAGAUUAUUAUUGUCAACAAGGUUAUGAAACCCCGCGCACAGUGAUACAGACCAAUACAAAAACUUGCCUAUGCAGUUCAGACUCCAGCAAGGACAUUGUGAUGACUCAGACUCCAGAAUCCAUGUUAGUGUCUCCAGGAGACAAAGCCAAUAUCAACUGCAAAGCCAUUACAAAUUUCGAACCUUACCAGGAGCAGCAGAAUGAAUGA